CAGGAACCUGAAUUAUUUACAACUGCUCCUGCCCUUGCAAUACCAAAAGCUAUAUCAAAUGCUGGUCUAGAGGCUUCUCAAAUUGAUUAUUAUGAAAUAAAUGAAGCUUUUUCUGUUGUGUCUCUUGCAAAUCAGAAGCUUCUUCGUCUUAGUCCUGACAAACUUAAUGUACAUGGUGGAGCUGUAUCAUUAGGCCAUCUACUGGGUUGCAGCGGGGCUCGAAUCCUAGUUACAUUAAUAGGGGUAUUAAGAUAGAAGAAUGGGAGAUAUGGCAUUGCUGGCAUCUACAAUGGCGGAAGCGGAGCAUCUGCACUUGUCCUUGAGCUCAUGUAAGCACUUUUUUACCUUGCCAAAUAACAUUACUCUAUCCCUUGGAAUAUAUUAUUUCAACUCAUUGAAAACCUUAGUUGAAUCAAGUAUUCAUCUUGCUAUUCUUUUUUUCUAUGUAUAUCU